rnacentral:rRNA from 1 species
AUUGAACGCUGGCGGCAGGCCUAACACAUGCAAGUCGAGCGGAUGAAGGGAGCUUGCUCCUGGAUUCAGCGGCGGACGGGUGAGUAAUGCCUAGGAAUCUGCCUGGUAGUGGGGGAUAACGUCCGGAAACGGGCGCUAAUACCGCAUACGUCCUGAGGGAGAAAGUGGGGGAUCUUCGGACCUCACGCUAUCAGAUGAGCCUAGGUCGGAUUAGCUAGUUGGUGGGGUAAAGGCCCACCAAGGCGACGAUCCGUAACUGGUCUGAGAGGAUGAUCAGUCACACGGGACUGGAAACACGUUCCAGCCCCCUACGGGGGGCAGCGGUGGGAAUUAUGGACCAAUGGCCGAAGGCUUAUUCCACCCAGGCCGGGGGUGUGAAGAAGGUCUUCGGAUUGUAAAGCACUUUAAGUGGGGAGGAAGGGAGGUAAGUUAAUCCCUUGCUGUUUUGACGUACCAACAGAAUAAGCACCGGCUAACUUCGUG